rnacentral:tRNA from 1 species
GAGGGUACAGCUCAGUGGUAGAGUGCAUGACUAGCAUGCAUGAGGUCCAGGGUUCAAUCCCCAGUACCUCCA